rnacentral:rRNA from 2 species
UAAACGGUGGAUCACUCGGCUCGUGGAUCGAUGAAGGACGCAGCAAACUGCGCGUCGAAUUGUGAACUGCAGGACACAUGAACAUCGACGCUUCGAACGCACAUUGCAGCCCACGGAUUCUGUUCCCGGGCUACGCUUGGCUGAGGGCC